rnacentral:rRNA from 1 species
UUAAGUCUGAUGUGAAAGCCCCCGGCUCAACCGGGGAGGGUCAUUGGAAACUGGGGAACUUGAGUGCAGAAGAGGAGAGUGGAAUUCCACGUGUAGCGGUGAAAUGCGUAGAGAUGUGGAGGAACACCAGUGGCGAAGGCGACUCUCUGGUCUGUAACUGACGCUGAGGCGCGAAAGCGUGGGGAGCGAACAGGAUUAGAUACCCUGGUAGUCCACGCCGUAAACGAUGAGUGCUAAGUGUUAGAGGGUUUCCGCCCUUUAGUGCUGCAGCAAACGCAUUAAGCACUCCGCCUGGGGAGUACGGUCGCAAGACUGAAACUCAAAGGAAUUGACGGGGGCCCGCACAAGCGGUGGAGCAUGUGGUUUAAUUCGAAGCAACGCGAAGAACCUUACCAGGUCUUGACAUCCUCUGACAACC